GUUGCAACCUCCAGAAAGAAUUCGUGGUUUCACCCGGGAAAACAGCUCCCCGGAUUAAACGGAUAGGUUUACACAUACUGAUCCACCCAGCUAUUCAUCUUCUGUUUGCUGCUUUAAUUGGGUGCGGUUAAAAGGCCACGUCCCUAGGCGUUCACCGGCUUUCUUGCCAUCUGCUGCAUGAAAACUGACUUUGCCGAAAAAAUUAACAAAGAAGAGCGAAAAUGACAGACCGCAACCGGAUUUCGUUUUCUGCAUUAUGUUUUGAGCCAAAGCUGAACGAAAUUCUAGAACCAGUAGUAAAGAGGGUCAUUUGAUAACAAGAAGAGUUCUCAGCUGGGCGCGGUGGCUCAUGCCUAUAAUUCCAGCAUUUAAGGCCCAGUACUCUGGGAGGCCGAGGCAGGCGAAUCGCCUGAGUUCAAGAGUUCGAGACCAGCCUGACCAACAUGGAGAAACACUAUCUCUACUAAAAACACAAAAUUAGCCGGGCGUGGUGACG
rnacentral:lncRNA from 10 species